UUUCCUAAAUCGCGCAACCCCUAGUAUAGUUAAUUGGGCUGGGACUGGGCUGCGUGUUUGCUCUUGCUAGUCGCGCGCCGCCGCGCUAACAUGUUCCUUCGCUCUUGUUCGUGACACUCCCCUGCUGCCGCCCUGUGCUCUGUUGUUUUCUUAUUCGCUCGUAGGUGAGAAUUUCAUCGAGGAUUGGGCGGGAGCUUGGACUUAGCGGCCAGGAGUAGCGACGCGGAGCUGGGAAUUGUAGGAGUGCCUGGGCCUCACGGUACCGUGAGCACAUGCAUGGGUUUGCACCCUUGAGAGCGUGUGGACACUAAUCCCCCCUCGAGGUUAGAGUAGCGGGGGUUGCGCGAUUUCCGGUUGGUAAGACCGGCGGCUCAACGCAGCAGGUAUGCGAGGUAACUUCAGGUAACAUCCGUAAACCGUCGCUUUGCUGCAUCGCAUACACUGUCUUUGCGCAACGUUUUCCUUGUGCUCUUUAACACAAGUGCGCGAGCCGGUUCAUGUCCCGCGGGCGUGCCGGGGCCUCUAGGGCUCGUGUUUUAGCGACUUGAUUUGUGAGUGUAUGGACAAUUUCUGGUGGUGAAAUUGCCCUAUGCUCACAAAUCUGUCGAAGGGUAAUUUUCGGCGUCCUACUCAGUGCUGUGCUGCGUGCCGUCGCGUCUGGACGAUGCUACCGAAAAUUGCUAUCUUGUCGGAGUUUUGGGCACUAGGCCUGGAGCCCGUUCCGCGGGGUCGGGGACCGGGCUGGGGGCCUUGUGGCGCCUCGGGCGCGCCGUGUUCCUCCUGCUUGUCGCGUUCCUCUGAUUUGCGCCAUAACCUGUACUGACUUUGGGCCCGCCCUCCCCGUGCCGCUGCCCCGCGGCAUCGACGUCCCCAUAAGCUGUACGUGUACUUGGACCUGGUGCUACAUGGCCGCAUGAGGGGAGUACCUAGCGUGUGCCGCCUCCGUCACACCAUGGAGUGGGGAGCGGGGGUUUUUCCCCCGCCAGCCCAUGGUGCUGACACCCCAUUUGCAUUUGCCGUCAUGCAUGCGCCCAUGCCGUCCCCCGCCUGUUUACUUGCUCGUGGUCGCCCACCCUCCGUCUCUUUCCUAAAUCGCGCAACCCCUAGUAUAGUUAAUUGGGCUGGGACUGGGCUGCGUGUUUGCUCUUGCUAGUCGCGCGCCGCCGCGCUAACAUGUUCCUUCGCUCUUGUUCGUGACACUCCCCUGCUGCCGCCCUGUGCUCUGUUGUUUUCUUAUUCGCUCGUAGGUGAGAAUUUCAUCGAGGAUUGGGCGGGAGCUUGGACUUAGCGGCCAGGAGUAGCGACGCGGAGCUGGGAAUUGUAGGAGUGCCUGGGCCUCACGGUACCGUGAGCACAUGCAUGGGUUUGCACCCUUGAGAGCGUGUGGACACUAAUCCCCCCUCGAGGUUAGAGUAGCGGGGGUUGCGCGAUUUCCGGUUGGUAAGACCGGCGGCUCACCGCAGCAGGUAUGCGAGGUAACUUCAGGUAACAUCCGUAAACCGUCGCUUUGCUGCAUCGCAUACACUGUCUUUGCGCAACGUUUUCCUUGUGCUCUUUAACACACACACACACACACACACACACACACACACACACACACACACACACACACAUUCUCCACGUACGCGCAAUCAGCAUACUCUCCGCAUGUGGUGCGGUGUAAUUUGUAACCCCAGCCCAACCUGCGGCAUGCACUACCG
rnacentral:lncRNA from 1 species